AUUGAACGCUGGCGGCAUGCUUUACACAUGCAAGUCGAACGGUAACAGGCCGCAAGGUGCUGACGAGUGGCGAACGGGUGAGUAAUGCAUCGGAACGUGCCCAGUCGCGGGGGAUAACGCAGCGAAAGCUGUGCUAAUACCGAAUACGAUCUAUGGAUGAAAGCGGGGGACCUUAAGGCCUCGCGCGAUUGGAGCGGCCGAUGUCAGAUUAGGUAGUUGGUGGGGUAAAGGCUCACCAAGCAAACGAUCUGUAGCUGGUCUGAGAGGACGACCGGCCACACUGGGACUGAGACACGGCCCAGACUCCUACGGGAGGCAGCAGUGGGGAAUUUUGGACAAUGGGCGCAAGCCUGAUCCAGCAAUGCCGCGUGCAGGAAGAAGGCCUUCGGGUUGUAAACUGCUUUUGUACGGAACGAAACGGCGAGCUCUAAUACAGUUUGCUAAUGACGGUACCGUAAGAAUAAGCACCGGCUAACUACGUGCCAGCCGCCGCGGUAA
rnacentral:rRNA from 1 species